rnacentral:rRNA from 1 species
AUUGAACGCUGGCGGCAGGCCUAACACAUGCAAGUCGAGCGGAUGAAGGGAGCUUGCUCCUGGAUUCAGCGGCGGACGGGUGAGUAAUGUCUAGGAAUCUGCCUGGUAGUGGGGGAUAACGUCCGGAAACGGGCGCUAAUACCGCAUACGUCCUGAGGGAGAAAGUGGGGGAUCUUCGGACCUCACGCUAUCAGAUGAGCCUAGGUCGGAUUAGCUAGUUGGUGGGGUAAAGGCCUACCAAGGCGACGAUCCGUAACUGGUCUGGGAGGAUGAUCAGUCACACUGGAACUGAGACACGGUCCAGACUCCUACGGGAGGCAGCAGUGGGGAAUAUUGGACAAUGGGCGAAAGCCUGAUCCAGCCAUGCCGCGUGUGUGAAGAAGGUCUUCGGAUUGUAAAGCACUUUAAGUUGGGAGGAAGGGCAGUAAGUUAAUACCUUGCUGUUUUGACGUUACCAACAGAAUAAGCACCGGCUAACUUCGUG